rnacentral:rRNA from 1 species
AUGAACGCUAGCUACAGGCUUAACACAUGCAAGUCGAGGGGCAUCAGGAAGAAAGCUUGCUUUCUUUGCUGGCGACCGGCGCACGGGUGAGUAACACGUAUCCAACCUGCCCUUUACUCGGGGAUAGCCUUUCGAAAGAAAGAUUAAUACCCGAUAGCAUAAUGAUUCCGCAUGGUUUCAUUAUUAAAGGAUUCCGGUAAAGGAUGGGGAUGCGUUCCAUUAGGUUGUUGGUGAGGUAACGGCCCACCAAGCCUUCGAUGGAUAGGGGUUCUGAGAGGAAGGUCCCCCACAUUGGAACUGAGACACGGUCCAAACUCCUACGGGAGGCAGCAGUGAGGAAUAUUGGUCAAUGGGCGCUAGCCUGAACCAGCCAAGUAGCGUGAAGGAUGAAGGCUCUAUGGGUCGUAAACUUCUUUUAUAUAAGAAUAAAGUGCAGUAUGUAUACUGUUUUGUAUGUAUUAUAUGAAUAAGGAUCGGCUAACUCCGUGCCAGCAGCCGCGGUAAUACGGAGGAUCCGAGCGUUAUCCGGAUUUAUUGGGUUUAAAGGGAGCGUAGGUGGACUGGUAAGUCAGUUGUGAAAGUUUGCGGCUCAACCGUAAAAUUGCAGUUGAUACUGUCAGUCUUGAGUGCAGUAGAGGUGGGCGGAAUUCGUGGUGUAGCGGUGAAAUGCUUAGAUAUCACGAAGAACUCCGAUUGCGAAGGCAGCUCACUGGACUGCAACUGACACUGAUGCUCGAAAGUGUGGGUAUCAAACAGGAUUAGAUACCCUGGUAGUCCACACAGUAAACGAUGAAUACUCGCUGUUUGCGAUAUACAGUAAGCGGCCAAGCGAAAGCAUUAAGUAUUCCACCUGGGGAGUACGCCGGCAACGGUGAAACUCAAAGGAAUUGACGGGGGCCCGCACAAGCGGAGGAACAUGUGGUUUAAUUCGAUGAUACGCGAGGAACCUUACCCGGGCUUAAAUUGCAGUGGAAUGAUGUGGAAACAUGUCAGUGAGCAAUCACCGCUGUGAAGGUGCUGCAUGGUUGUCGUCAGCUCGUGCCGUGAGGUGUCGGCUUAAGUGCCAUAACGAGCGCAACCCUUAUCUUUAGUUACUAACAGGUUAUGCUGAGGACUCUAGAGAGACUGCCGUCGUAAGAUGUGAGGAAGGUGGGGAUGACGUCAAAUCAGCACGGCCCUUACGUCCGGGGCUACACACGUGUUACAAUGGGGGGUACAGAAGGCAGCUAGCGGGUGACCGUAUGCUAAUCCCAAAAUCCUCUCUCAGUUCGGAUCGAAGUCUGCAACCCGACUUCGUGAAGCUGGAUUCGCUAGUAAUCGCGCAUCAGCCACGGCGCGGUGAAUACGUUCCCGGGCCUUGUACACACCGCCCGUCAAGCCAUGGGAGCCGGGGGUACCUGAAGUACGUAACCGCAAGGAUCGUCCUAGGGUAAAACUGGUGACUGGGGCU